ensembl:lncRNA
AUGGACCAACAGGUAGGCCCCAGACUAAACAUGUCUUCCUCCCACAGAUCCAAGAUGGCCUACUUCAGCUUACCAGCAGGAACUGAAGCGCUAUUGGAACACAGGGAAAGUCACACCAGACAAAACACUACAGGCUUUAGGAAAAACAGGAUCACUAAAGCACGGAAUAGUAAUAAUAUUAACAAACGAACACAGGCCCAAAUGGAAUUAGACGAAAUUACGAGAGAAAUCUGUAAAAAAUACUUUAAGUUAAUACAAGCGGUGCAUCAUAAAAAUAUAAUUGACAAAGCCAUCUCCACUGGGGUUCCACCGAAAGGAAUGGCCAAACAUGUCAAAAAACUUACCGGUUUUAUCAAACCCUCCUCUCCCACAGAACAGGUCAGAAUAGCUGUGGAGAAGAACACACAAGAAUGGAUGAGUCACAACCUGUCCAUCCUACAGGAACAUUAUUUCAAUAUCAUUUUAGAAUACAAUAAAUUAUCAUACAACGAGUUAGCCUUCCAGAUUGCCAUUAGUUGGGCUCAGAAACGAUACCAGACCAGACUGACCCACACCACGAUCCAGGCAGUCCGUGCCCUGCUCCGAGACGGCUCCGAACGACCUGAGAACUUUGAGGCCCUGGGCUCCCCUCCAGUAGACGGGCCCAGUAUUGACAACCCGCUGAUUCCCGACUUGGCCAACAGAGAAGAAUUUCCACCUCUGCCGGAUCCCGGGGCAGCGCCGCCACUCCAGCAAGAGAACAUAGAGGCAGGGAAAAAUUUAGUUAGUGGACAGGGGAAACAAAGCAGAACGAAUGGUACUGAAAUACUAAUGAAAAAUUAUGAACUCACCUCGGGACAGCGUCCGGAUUUAGAACCAGAGUUCACGUAUGAAAGAUACAGCAGUCCGUCGGGCUCUCUUGUGGCUCUCCCUUCCUCUCCUCUCAUGCUCUCUCCUAUUGCACAAACCGCUAUAGAUGCAGAGCACUGGCACUCUGGAACCAAACAGGACUCAGCGACGCGUCGAUCAAUGACAUCCCGACAACUUUCUCCGCCUUCAAAUCAUACCACAACACUGCCUCCACCAGGGGAUGACACCGGGCCUGGUGUGGAGAUGAUGUCACCAUGCAGCGAGAGGAGAAACAAAAGUGAGGGUCGCUUAUGUUUGAAAAACAGACGAAAACGUACGGCUGCCAGUGAAACUCCUUCAGAAUCCUUACCGUUCUAUUCGAACGUGGCUGUGAGGGAGGGGCCCUCCCACAUUGGACCCGCCUCCCCACCAAUCACGGAAAACAAUAACGUUCACUCUCCUGUCUCCCCACAGCGCGAGGCGAGACCGAGACCAAAGCUCCAUCCGAGUCCUACACAUCCUGUUUUAAUUACAAAAAUAAAAAAGGUGAUGGGAAAUCAAAUGAAGACAAAUGAGUCAGAAGUGUGUGACUACACUAACCUACACGGUAGAAUGACUCCAUCUGAUCCCAUUCAAACCACCCAUACAGGAUAUGUGGACAAAACGGUCUCGGGUCGCACAUUCAGUUCAGACCAGCGACAGGAGGAGACAGAAAUCACACAGAUCCAAAAUCCAAAACCAACUUACCUCCCUAUUCAGCACAAGGCCAGAGCAGGCAGAAAGAUCCUAGAUUGGCACUUCAGGGGUAAAAAACCGAUCUGGCUGCUAGGAGACUCUAAUUUGUCUCGUAUACCACCGUAUAUCAAUAAGAAUAUUCAAAUUGACAGUUAUGCGGGAGCAGCCUUCUAUCAUUUCCAACAGAUUCUAGACAAAACACCUGAGCACCCGCUAGUCAAAGUUGUCGUCUUAUCAGUGGGAAUUAACAAUAAGGAUCAGGAACCUCACAAGACUUCUAUUAAACAACUACGUUUCAUUUACAAGAGAGCUCAGACAGUCUUUCCGAACGCUAGAAUCGCUUUUCCUUUGAUAAACUAUUCACCACUUUUGUCACGACAACAACAAGCUAAUUUGAAUAUUAUCAACGACUUCAUCUCCACUCACCUGCCUUUCUUGGGACCGCUACCGCCAGGCCAAUUCUCCACGACGCAGGAUGGCGUCCACUGGACACAGGACACAGCCCGACGCAUGUUCCAGUCUUGGUGCUCUGAGCUCCAGAUAAAUUUUUAA